UGAAGAUGGUCUUUGCAGAGAGGCAACCUUCUGUGCUGGAAAUGCCUAAAAGGUACCAGAAAAUAAAGUACAUAGAAGGAAGAAGUCCUAAGAUGGUUCCAAGAAGCCUUGAGGAUGUAGAAAAGAGAAGACUUAAUAAG